rnacentral:rRNA from 1 species
CAAUAGCGUAUAUUAAAGUUGUUGCAGUUAAAAAGCUCGUAGUUGGAUUUCUGGUGGGAGCGAUCGGUCUGGCGCUUAGCGCGAGUACUUGCAUCGUCUCCGGCCAUCUUUGGGGAGAGUCUGUCUGGCAUUAGGUUGUCGGGCAGAGGAUCCUCAUCGUUUACUGUGAAAAAAUUAGAGUGUUCAAAGCAGGCUUAUGCCGUUGAAUAUAUUAGCAUGGAAUAAUAAGAUAGGACUUUGGUACUAUUUUGUUGGUUUGCGCACCAAAGUAAUGAUUAAUAGGGACAGUUGGGGGUAUUCGUAUUCCGUUGUCAGAGGUGAAAUUCUUGGAUUUACGGAAGACGAACUACUGCGAAAGCAUUUACCAAGGAUGUUUUCAUUAA